rnacentral:rRNA from 1 species
UACGAAGGGGGCUAGCGUUGCUCGGAAUUACUGGGCGUAAAGGGCGCGUAGGCGGCACUGUUAGUCAGGCGUGAAAGUCCUGGGCUCAACCUGGGAACUGCGCUUGAUACGGCAGAGCUAGAGGAUGGAAGAGGCUCGCGGAAUUCCCAGUGUAGAGGUGAAAUUCGUAGAUAUUGGGAAGAACACCGGUGGCGAAGGCGGCGAGCUGGUCCAUUACUGACGCUGAGGCGCGACAGCGUGGGGAGCAAACGGG